rnacentral:lncRNA from 1 species
AUCAGAGCAUCAUAGGUUGCAAUCAUACUGGCUAAUGCCUCAGGUAUUUGUUCUUUAAAUUUUUGGCUAAUAUAUAUGUUUUCGUCUAAAAAGAAGCAAUUUAAUUGAAUUAUUAUCCCCUACAAAACACCCAUAUCCCUUUAAAUCAUUAAUAUGAGACCAAUAAAGAUGAAUGAUGCCCAAGAUAAAGUCCCUAGAGCAGUGGACAGGAGUUAGGAGUGGGAGCUGAGAACUGAGGAAAGGAGGGUUUAUUGCCCAAUGGUAAACACAGAGAUUUCAGACUAGCCAAUGAUGGACCUUUUAUUUAACUCAAAUAGAACAUUAAUGCCAAACUGAACUUCAAGGAAACAUCUUAACUGAGUUAAAAGCUUAGUUAUUAUACAUACACCAUUUAAAAACAAGACAAUGUGGCAUGUGAUACAUGAAACGAUUUUUCUAGAAAACACAGAAUUCAAUGAAAACACAAAACGUGCUUUUUAUAAUCUGGUAGCGAUAGCUUAGAAGAAUUUUGCAACUUUACAUAAAGCAUAGAUGCUACUGAUAAAAACACACGAGCAAUAUGCUUGCUAGAAAUAUAUAUUCUACUUUGGAAACUUAGUUUUAAUUUUGAGACAUAUAUACUGUUCAGGUUAAAAAUACACUUCGUGGAAAGGCUGCAUCAUGCUAUACAAACACCAUUAUUCAUAAUAUUCAGUUCCCCUUUCAAAAUAAGCAUUUUCUAUGCAGCGGUGAUCAAUUUCACUAACUACCUGUUACAUAUCUAAACCAACUGUCUAUCUGAAACUCCCAAUGUCUAAACAGCAUCAAAAUUCCUAGUGGCAAGUAGUCAAGACAACACUGGCAAGGUGUAAGGAAAUAGGUGUAGGAGAUUUUUAAGUUUCUAAUGUGCUUUUCCCAUCAACUUGCAUGGAACCACACCUAAGGAAAAUCCUGAACAUCAUUUGGCAGCAGUACUGCGUGGCAUUUGGAUGCACUGUACCUCUGACACACCAGCAUCAUCACGGCCAAGGAAAGCAUCGACUGACCAAAGAAUAAGCCCCGGAGAAAGGUAAUAAACACCUGGCCAGAGUUACGAAGUGAAAAGGAAGAGUUCCUGUCCAUAGCAAGUGCGGUGCGGAUCAAAAUGGAGAGAGGCGUCAGGUUCCUUCACUCCCUCGCCCGGGGUGGCGGUCUCCCUUUGGCCUCUCUCCUUCCUCUCCUCUUCCCCUUCAGCCUCCCACCUCUGUCACUUUUUCCCAGCUGUGUGAAGGGAACCACGCUGCACCACUCUGCUCACCUGUCGUCGUUUUGCCAUCCUUGGUCCCCUAGCAGCAGAUCUCGAAACCUGUACCUGGGAGGCAGAGGGGGCACUUCGCUCUCCAAAUCAACCAUCCUUCCUCAGAAGAGUGGGAAACAUCAAACAACGGAUGGAGGGCGGGAGGCAGCAGGCAGGGACCCGCCGCGGAGCCCGGGGGCCGGGGAGGGGCCGGCAGGGCGGGGGUCGCUGAGGCCGGAAGCCGAGCUGGGAGCAGGGCGGGCGCCGCUCUCCCUAGGGUGUGAUGGGGAUGAUGCAAACCCAGCCCAGGACCCAAAGUCUGGCUCAGACUCCAAUCAGCGCUGCCAAGGAACCGCCCCCAGGCUCGGCGCCGCCUCUGGUGCCCAGGACGGGGGAGGCGGGAAGGCAAAAGUUACUUCGCCCCGGAGGGGAACCAAAUGCGCGGGGCCCAGGAAGAGGGGCGAGGGGCAGCGGCGCACGACGUGAGGCGCCGUCCUAACCGCCCGCGGAAAGACGCCCCCUCCAGGACGUCCUCGGCGCGCAGGGACGCAGCCCAGGCCGGCGGAGGCGCUCCGGGGGCUCCGGCCCCGGCUCGCCCAAGCCCGCUCCCCGCACACAGGCCCUCCCGAGCUGUUGCCCGAGGCCCAGCCAAUGAGCCUCGCCUUCAUUAGCAUACGAGUGACGGCAUGGGGGUGCCUUGGGGACAGCCAAUGGGGGCGAGCUCAUUAGCGGAUUCAGGGGUUCCAGACCCUUCUCUGGAAAAGUGGGUGCGGGGCGCGGGGAGUGUUGUGAGGUGCCCGGAGCUCCUGUGCUUUGGUUGCCUUCAGCUCGGGUGGGCGGGAGGAAAACAUGCACCUUCCAGGAAAGGGAAUCCCCGCUCCCAGCCCCAGGAAAGUCCCUCCCCCCACCACAUUCUGAAAGAGGAGAGGUGUUUCCCUGAUCUCCAGGCGCGAAUGCAGGGCCACCUUAAGCCUCCACUGAAGACAAGUAUUCAGAUGCGUAGGAAAGCCCGCUGCAACCCAGGUACAAUGCGCUUGAAGACUUGUUAAGACCUCCGGGAUACAGUUCUCCCAUUGACGUGUGCGCCGUGGGGAGCGUACUGGUGGAACUGUAUCAUUAAGACCGCUUUUCCCAGGAACAGCAUUGAGGUUCCGAAUCCCGGAAGGAGCCGUGCUUGCUCUAAAGCUUACCUCUGUCCUUACUUCCGUUCACAUCCGGGCUCAUUGCCUGCCCAGGUCACCCUCCUCUCCACCUCCUGUCAGCCGCCUGUCGAGAAGCAGUGGUAUCUCAUGCUGAAGCACACACGCUCUAAUCUGGACUCUUGGGACUUAGACACUGGAUCUGGCAAGUGUUAGCUGCUUGACCUGGAGCAAAUUACUCAUUGUCUUUCAAUUUCCCAAUCUAUAAAAUGGAGUCAAGUACUUAUUUGGGAGAAAUUAAAUACAUUAAUGCAUCUAAAUAUCUUAGAUGCUCACCACAUAGUUUGCUAUUGUUAUUAUGUGUGUUUUUCAGAAUGUUGG